GCAUUUUUGGACCUAUUCCUUUAAAAAUCAAAGUUUGACUCAAGUUUGACUUUUUGCUUCUUUGACUUUUUCUUAAUUUGGCCAAUUGGGAAAUGUUUAGAAUCACAUUUGAAACAUGUUCCAAUUCCAAAACCAUCAUCAUACCACUAUUUUACCACAUUUUUGACCAUAGUUGCAUAAGUUGUCAUUUUGUGCAAUUGGCUUCAAAGAGUAAAAACAAGGUUAGCAUUUCACAAGUACAUACAAAACAGCAAAUUGAAUGUCUUUUUUCUGCUCAUUUCAAGGCCCAUUCGACCAACCCUUUGCACCUUCCAUUUCCAUAUGUGUAAUUAGCAAACUUUGGCAAAAGAACUCAUAAG
rnacentral:lncRNA from 1 species